rnacentral:rRNA from 1 species
AGCGAACGCUGGCGGCGGGCCUAACACAUGCAAGUCGAACGAAAACUUCGGAGUUAGUGGCGGACGGGGGGGUAACACGUGGGAACGAGCACGUAGGUUCGGAAUAACUGAGGGUAACAUGUGCUAAUGACGAAUGUGCCCAUCGGGGGAAAGAUUUAUCGCCUUUGGAGCGGCCCUGGUCAGAUUAGGCAGUUGGGGAGGUAAAGGCGCACCAAGGCGACGAUCCGGAGCUGGUCUGAGAGGAUGCUCUGCCACAUUGGGGCUGCGACCCGGCCCACACUCCUACGGGAGGCAGCAGUGGGGAAUCUUGCGCACUGGGCCAAAGCCUGACGCAGCCAUGUCGCGUGAAUGAUGAAGGUCUUAGGAUUGUAAAUUUCUUUCACCCGGGACGAUAGUGACGGUACCCGGUGAAGAAGCCCCGGCUAACUUCGUG